UACAUGGGGUGCAAACGUUGCUCGGAAUCAUUGGGCGUAAAGCGCGCGUAGGCGGUUGCUUAAGUCGGAUGUGAAAGCCCUCGGCUUAACUGAGGAAGUGCAUCCGAAACUGAGCAGCUAGAGUACGAAAGAGGGUCGCGGAAUUCCCGGUGUAGAGGUGAAAUGCGUAGAUAUCUGGAGGAAUACCGGUGGCGAAGGCGGCAUCCUGGACCGGCAUUGACGCUGAUGAGCGAAAGCUAGGGGAGCAAACGGGG
rnacentral:rRNA from 1 species